rnacentral:rRNA from 1 species
CCUACGGGUGGCAGCAGUAGGGAAUAUUGCUCAAUGGGGGAAACCCUGAAGCAGCAACGCCGCGUGGAGGAUGAAGGUUUUCGGAUUGUAAACUCCUUUUGUUGGAGAAGAUAAUAACGGUAUCUAACGAAUAAGCACCGGCUAACUCCGUGCCAGCAGCCUCGGUAAUACGGAGGGUGCAAGCGUUACUCGGACUCACUGGGCGUAACGAGCGCGUAGGCGGGAUAGCAAGUCAGAUGUGAAAUCCUAGGGCUUAACCCUAGAACUGCAUUUGAAACUGUUAUUCUAGAGGAUGGGAGAGGUAGGUGGAAUUCUUGGUGUAGGGGUAAAAUCCGUAGAGAUCAAGAGGAAUACUCAUUGCGAAGGCGACCUGCUAGAACAUAACUGACGCUGAUGCGCGAAAGCGUGGGGAGCAAACAGGAUUAGAUACCCUUGUAGUC